GAUGAACGCUGGCGGCGUGCCUAAUACAUGCAAGUCGAGCGAACGGACGAGAAGCUUGCUUCUCUGAUGUUAGCGGCGGACGGGUGAGUAACACGUGGAUAACCUACCUAAGAGACUGGGAUAACUUCGGGAAACCGUAGCUAAUACCGGAUAAUAUUUUGAACCGCAUGGUUCAAAAGUGAAAGACGGUCUUGCUGUCACUUAUAGAUGGAUCCGCGCUGCAUUAGCUAGUUGGUAAGGUAACGGCUUACCAAGGCAACGAUGCAUAGCCGACCUGAGAGGGUGAUCGGCCACACUGGAACUGAGACACGGUCCAGACUCCUACGGGAGGCAGCAGUAGGGAAUCUUCCGCAAUGGGCGAAAGCCUGACGGAGCAACGCCGCGUGAGUGAUGAAGGUCUUCGGAUCGUAAAACUCUGUUAUUAGGGAAGAACAUAUGUGUAAGUAACUGUGCACAUCUUGACGGUACCUAAUCAGAAAGCCACGGCUAACUACGUG
rnacentral:rRNA from 1 species